rnacentral:rRNA from 1 species
UACAGAGGGUGCUAGCGUUAAUCGGAUUUACUGGGCGUAAAGCGUGCGUAGGCGGUUUGUUAAGUCGGUUGUGAAAGCCCCGGGCUCAACCUGGGAAUUGCAGUCGAUACUGGCAGACUAGAGAACGGUAGAGGGAGGCGGAACUCCGGGUGUAGCGGUGAAAUGCGUAGAUAUCCGGAAGAACACCGAUGGCGAAGGCAACCUCCUGGGCCUGUUCUGACGCUGAGGCACGAAAGCGUGGGUAGCAAACAGG